GUUGUUGUCAGGUCUUGUGAUUCCCUGUACACCCGCCAUGUUGCUGUCAGUUCUUGUGAUCCCCUGUACCCCCACCAUAUUGCUUUCAGUUCUUGUGAUCCCUGUACACCCGCCAUGUUGCUGUCAGCUAUACUGCAUGUAUAGAUGAUGUAUCGAGUGUUUUGUAUUAUUAGUGUAAGAUGUGAACAAUGUAGCUGUAAGAUGAAGAUGUCCGAGUGUGUACAGAGUUUACUUUGUGUUACAGCGACACCGACACCCGCACGGAGAGACGCCCGGGCAGACGACGACCUCCGUGCCGCCUGCAGUGAGGGGACCCUGGCGGAGGUGAAGCGGAUCCUGGACAAAAGUCGGGCUGACGUCAACAGUAGAGGAGAGAGAGGAACAGGACACCGGUGAUAUGGGCAGCAUGGCGGGGACACAGGGAUGUGGUGGAGCUCCUUGUGAGUGAAGGUGCUGAUGUGUCACUGGUGGACGAUGACGGUAACAACAUCCUUCACUUGGCAUCUGUGGGAAGAGACAGGAAGACAGUGGAUUUUGUCCUGUCUCUGGACGGGGUGGACAUCAACGCCAGGAAAAACAACGGGGAGACAGCGGCCGACGUGGCGACAUCAUGAACUGUUGGAUCUCCUGGUGUCAAGUGGUACACAGUGAAGUGAAUGUAGUGUUGAUGUAGACAGUGAUGGAGGACAGGUCGUUACUGACACUGACGUGGUGUGUACCGUUCACGUCAUCGCGUUGUUUAUAAUUCAGUAUUAAGGUGAGAAUAUUUGUUGUGUUUGAGGAGA